rnacentral:rRNA from 1 species
AGAAUUUGAUCUUGGUUCAGAACGACGCUGGUGGCGUGUCUUAUACAUGCAAGUCGAGCGAGGCAGCAAUGCCGAGCGGCGAACGGGUGAGUAACGCGUAAGCAAUCUGCCCCCAUAUCAGGAAAUACCCGUGCCAACGCGCGGUUUAAUGUCCAGGAGAGUGGCCCCCUGCAUGGGGAGUUGACUAGAGAUUUUAUCGGUAUGGGAUGAGCUUGCGUCCGAUUAGCUAGUUGGCGGGGCAACGGCCCACCAAGGCGACGAUCGGUAGCCGGCCUGAGAGGGUGAUCGGCCACAUUGGGACUGAGAUACGGCCCAGACUCCUACGGGAGGCAGCAGUAGGGAAUAUUGCACAAUGGGGGAAACCCUGAUGCAGCAACGCCACGUGUGGGGAAAAGAAGCAUUUCGGUGUGUAAACCACUGUCAUGAGGGAAUAAGGCCCGCCUACGGACGGGACUUGAAUGUACCUUGAGAGGAAGCACCGGCAAACUUCGUGCCAGCAGCAGC